AUAUAUGCAGCAGGGUUUUUAGUCCAUUGGAGAUGAGGAAAUCUGUAGCUUUGCUGUAGAGGGACACAUGAGUGGACUUUCUCAUGAUUUUUAUUUUAUAAUUUCCAGCACUAAUUCAUCUCAGACUCAGAUUUGGAAGGCAGCUGCCCCUACAAUGGUUGCCUUUUUUACCAGGGAAGCAACUCAUUGGUAAGAUCUUGACCUUGGACAACUGGUAGAGAAUGGGAUUGUCCGUCGUCAACAGAUGCCCCCUUCGCAUGGCUGACGUAGAAUCAGUUGAGCACAUCCUUCUUCAUUGACCAUGGACCAGAAAUCUGUGGAACAUGGCUCUGACUCUGAUUGGACAAUGGUGGCUUACUGCCAGCUCUGUGGGAGAGGAUCUCUGGGCCUGGAUAGGGAUUCGGGAAACAAAGGAAAAAAGAAAGUCUUUGUCUUCUGGUGUGUUUGGAAAGAGAGGAACUGGAGAGUGUUUAAAAAUUGAAUCUCAUUGUUUCUGAUCAGCAAAGACCAGUAGUUUACUGCAGCUGCCAGUUGGCAUAGUGGACUUGUAGCAAUUGAUUACAGUGUAAUUUUUUAUUUUUGUGACAUCCUUCAGGGUGGUUGAUUUUUUGUACUUUGGGCCCUUUAUGCCCUUUCAAUAAAUUUUCCUUUAAUUAUUCAAAAAAAUCUACAUUUAAGC